UGAGACAGGAUGGCUAGCUGAACUCCUGCCGGUCCUCUCACUAGUUCGCCAGCCAUAACACUUAAUAAACCAGCCGGCCGUCGGUGAGCCAUGCCGAGCACGGCAGACAUGACGAUGUUUCACUCUCAGUUGUCCUCCAUCAUGGAGAAACUAGUUAUUUCCGCCAUUACAGAGAUCAACAAACUAAUGGUCGAUUACUGUGCCCUGCUGCGUUUGGAGCUGAACCGAGAAAAGCUCGAUAAUGGCAUGCUAAGGAAGAAACUGAGACUGGUCCUAACUAACGCAGACCAGGGAGUACACUUCACCACUGGCGAAUUACUUGACGAGUGUCAAAACGCCGCAGAAAACGGAAGCAACAGAGCAGGACUCCAGCUGUACUCUGGUCAGAGGGAGAGCAUUGCCGGAUGGAAAGAUGGAGCACAAACCACAGAGGCCGAGGAAGCCCUGAGGCUGGCAGACUGCAAGACUGAAGCAGUUAUCGUCAAACAUGAGCAAGUCCAUGAGGAGGCAGCUGCUGACGGACAACUGCAACUCAAAGCUCCUGCACUCUCCCCCGGCUCUCCUCUGGUAUCCCAGCAACAGGAUGCAGCUGAGCCAGGUACCAGCUCGCCGACGGGGUGGCAGUUCUGCAGUCAACCUCCAGAGGGCAGCACAGAGCAGAGCACAAGCUUCAAGCAGGCUGUUGACAUGGAGCAGCAGCUCAGCCUCUCCCCAGCUGCAGGCCAGCUCACUGAUGUGGAGCUCCACAUUAAGAGGGAGGCAGAGAGCCCUGACCUGUCUGCAUCUCCAGGUGUGGAUUUGGAUAAUGGGUUUGAGUUCCAGCCAGGGAUGCUGAGUCAAAUGUACCCCGAUUCCCUGCCUGACACCCCUGUGUUGGCAUAUUACAACUUUUCACUUGCAUCAAAAUCACAGCACACCUCAGCACCAGGAGACCCCCCUGACAUGUCACUCUAUGAACAAUACUCAGCAGACGGAGACGCCUCAGGCCACAGCAGCAGCCAGACAGGAAGUAGGCCGCAUUGCAGCAGGGAACCUUAUCUCAUGGCCUCUCGAGCCAGCGAGUGUAUCAAAUACGUAUGCGAGGACUGUGGGAAGGGCUUCCCCUUCCUGAGUGUGAUGAAGCGCCACCGGCUGACCCACACGGGGGAGAGGACACAGCACUGCGGACAGUGUGGGAUGAGCUUCAUCAGGCGGAGCCACCUCCGGCGCCACGAGCUGCUGCACUCAGGCCUCCGUCCCUUCGCCUGCCAGCUCUGCGGCCGCCAGUUUUCACGCAGGGCCCACCUCAACACACACAUGAAAACCCACCGCAGGUGAAGAGGACACAAUGUUUUGUGCCUGUGCCCGUGAGACAGAGACAGACAGACAGAGUGACAGAGAAAUAGUGAGAGAGGUUAUAGGACAGCAAGUUAAUUCGGGAAGAUCAAUCCAGUUUUUCCUUCUGAUAAUUCCCUAGCCAAAAAACCUCUGCUUCAUAAAACCUUGUUUGAGUAUGUCUUUGGCACCUACUCUGUGUUCUCCACUUCAUUAAAGCAAGUUACAUCUUUGUCUUUUUAACCCUUUGAAACCUGAAAUUGGUCAAACAUGACAAGAAAACCCAAGAAAUAUUGUAAAAGAAAGAAGAAAGAAAAAAGAAAAUUAGCAGAGCUAAAAUGAGCAGGAAAUGUGUAUCAAAGAGUUAAACAUAAAAACAAGAAUACAAAACAAUAGCUGUCAGAUUUGAUGUUCACAAUAGAGGGGGGCCAGUAUCUCAUUUAGGUUUCCUGUUCAGUAAAUUGGCACUAGUAGACCCACAUCUAGUGUACUGACUGUCUAAGUUGCUUUUGACUGAGAUUAUUAAUCCACAUGUUUCUGCAGUGGACGUUAGUAACAUCAGCAGACACAGCUAAGCAUAAACCACAGGUUAUAGCUACAGAAAGAAAUUUGUUACAUAAUUUUAUUAAUGUUUAUGAAUUACAUCAAGUGAUAGUAUGCAUUUUUAAAAUGCCAUACCUGAGUCAUUUCACAAAGUAUACAUUUCAGUGAGUGUCCACAGACCUUUUGCACAGCAGCCACUCUGACAUGAAAUAGCAGGUAAUCUCAGGUGUCACUGGUGAUGUUAAUUCAGGUUCUGUUCUCUCCUCGGAGAAACACCAAAGUGAAGCAGAACCUGCAUUAGUGUCACUAACAGCUGUGUUUACCUGCCAUUUCAUGUCCAAAUGGCUGCUGUGAAAAAGGUGCAUUACAAACCAACUGGUUUUCUUUGUUUCCAUACGUCAGACACAUGUUAGUUUUUUCUUUUGAUACAGCUGUCCGCCUGAGCACACAUGAAUGAUUAUUAUGGCAGGUCUAAAACAGAUCUUAUGGAGUGAGUGAAUGUGAACAAAAAAAUAAAGUUUCUCUUAACUGCAGCCAUGUUUCUGCACAGUUGCGGGGUCCCAACGAGUUCCAGUAUAUAAGCAAACGUGAUCCAAAAAAGUCUGCCUUACACUCAGUGUCCACUUUAUCAGCUCCACCUGUACAAUCUAAUGCAGUUCAGUGCCAUAAAUUCUACCUUUUAGCAAAGUUUAUAAUGUUCAGUUUUGGUUGUAGUUUGCAGAGGUCUUAACUUGGACUACAUUAUAUUGAGGGGUGUUUCUAAUUUUUUCUCCUCCCUAUUUAUAAACAUGAGGGGGGCAGAAUAUCAGAAACACCCCUCAGUAAAAUGCAGUCCAGUACAACAGCAGCACUAACUAUGACAUAGAAGUGAAUGAACACCUCUAUUACUGUGACGACAAGAAAACCUGAGCAUUUCAGGCAGCAGAAAAGUAAACUUAACCAUCACCUACUAACAUUAUGUGUUGGAUGGUUCUCCCUGUUGCUCAUACAGUUCUUUUAUCUGUUUUGUGCAUUUUAGAUAAUACACUGUUUAUAGAUUGUUGUGCUUCAAUUUUCCAAAUUAAUAA